AGUGAACGCUGGCGGUAGGCCUAACACAUGCAAGUCGAACGGCAGCACAGUAAGAGCUUGCUCUUACGGGUGGCGAGUGGCGGACGGGUGAGGAAUACAUCGGAAUCUACUUUUUCGUGGGGGAUAACGUAGGGAAACUUACGCUAAUGCCGCAUACGACCUACGGGUGAAAGCAGGGGAUCUUCGGACCUUGCGCGAUUGAAUGAGCCGAUGUCGGAUUAGCUAGUUGGCGGGGUAAAGGCCCACCAAGGCGACGAUCCGUAGCUGGUCUGGGAGGAUGAUCAGCCACACUGGAACUGAGACACGGUCCAGACUCCUACGGGAGGCAGCAGUGGGGAAUAUUGGACAAUGGGCGCAAGCCUGAUCCAGCCAUACCGCGUGGGUGAAGAAGGCCUUCGGGUUGUAAAGCCCUUUUGUUGGGAAAGAAAAGCAGCAGGUUAAUACCCCGCUGUUCUGACGGUACCCAAAGAAUAAGCACCGGCUAACUUCGUG
rnacentral:rRNA from 1 species